rnacentral:rRNA from 1 species
CACGUAGGGUGCGAGCGUUGUCCGGAAUUAUUGGGCGUAAAGAGCUCGUAGGCGGUGUGUCGCGUCGGCCGUGAAAACCUGCAGCUUAACUGUGGGGCUUGCGGUCGAUACGGGGCAUCACUGGAGUUCGGCAGGGGGAGACUGGAAUUCCUGGUGUAGCGGUGAAAAUGCGCAGAUAUCAGGGAAAGAAACACCCAAACGGGCGAAAGGGCAGCUCGCUGGGG